rnacentral:misc_RNA from 1 species
GAUGAAGAACGCAGCAAAAUGCGAUAAGUAAUGUGAAUUGCAGAAUUCAGUGAAUCAUCGAAUCUUUGAACGCACAUUGCGCCCGCUGGUAUUCCGGCGGGCAUGCCUGUUCGAGCGUCAUUUCAACCCUCAAGCCCCCGGGUUUGGUGUUGGGGAUCGGCUCUGCCCUUCUGGGCGGUGCCGCCCCCGAAAUACAUUGGCGGUCUCGCUGCAGCCUCCAUUGCGUAGUAGCCAACACCUCGCAACUGGAACGCGGCGCGGCCAUGCCGUAAAACCCCAACUUCUGAAUGUUGACCUCGGAUCAGGUAGGAAUACCCGCUGAACUUAAGCAUAUCAAUAAGCGGAGGA